rnacentral:sRNA from 1 species
GGGAGGCUGAGGCAGGCAGACCACGAGGUCAGGAGAUCAAGACCAUCUUGGCUAACACGGUGAAACCCCGUCUCUACUAAAAACGCAAAAAAUUAGCUGGGCGUGGUGGCGGGCGCCUGUAAUCCCAGCUACUAGGGAGGCUGAGACAGGAGAAUUGCUUGAACCCGGGAGACGGAGGUUGCAGUGAGCUGAGAUCAUGCCACUGCACUCCAGCCUGGGCAACAGAGCGAGACUCUGUCUCAAAAAAAAAAAAAAAAAAAAGUGUCAGAGGAUGUUCUAAGGAAAUUGUAUUCGGACCAGAAAAGAGAUGGGACAUUAUUUACUUCAUGAAUGUCAGGUAUAAGCGAUUCCUUUUUUCAUAGACUUGUUUUAUAAAGAUGAGUAGUGUGAGUUCAUUUAACACCUUGCUUUUACCAGUUUAUUUCUUCUUCACCACACAUUUUAAAAUGUUUGUUUAUAUUUAUUAAAUAGUGGAGAUAAAUCAGUAAUGAUAUAGAGCUUUUUGCCUUAUUGUACAAAUCAUUUUAUCACCUUAUUUUAAUUUCAUUGAAAGCAGCAAACCAAAUCCCAACCAAAUAUCCACUAGUAAUGGGAAGCCUGGUGCUGUGAAUGGAGCUGUGGGGACCACGUUCCAGCCUCAGAAUCCUCUUUUAGGGAGAGCCUGUGAGAGCUGCUAUGCUACACAGUCUCACCAGUGGUAUUCUUGGGGCCCACCUAAUAUGCAGUGUAGAUUAUGUGCAAUUUGUUGGCUUUAUUGGAAAAAAUAUGGAGGCUUGAAAAUGCCCACCCAGUCAGAAGAAGAAAAGUUAUCUCCUAGCCCAACUACAGAGGACCCUCGUGUUAGAAGUCAUGUGUCCCGCCAGGCCAUGCAGGGAAUGCCAGUCCGAAACACUGGGAGUCCAAAGUCUGCAGUGAAGACCCGCCAGGCUUUCUUCCUUCAUACUACAUAUUUCACAAAAUUUGCUCGUCAGAUGCAGACAGACAUGCUGAACUAUCUGGAAGUCCACUGAAAAGCAAAAGCACUAGGAAGCCUUUGGCAUGUAUCAUUGGGUAUUUAGAGAUCCAUCCUGCAAAGAAACCUAAUGUAAUUCGAUCUACACCAAGCCUGCAAACCCCAGCUACCAAGCGGAUGCUAACAACUCCAAAUCACACAUCUCUGAGCAUUCUGGGGAAAAGAAACUACAGUCAUCACAAUGGUCUGGAUGAACUCAAGUGCUGUGUGUCAGACUGAGCUUUCCCUGAUUCAUUCUACAAUCCAAGACUUGCUGCACUGUCCUGCUGAUGUUCACAGUCGUGCCUGGGAAGAAGGCAGCCCCACUCCCAGUACAUUUCAGUGGGAGACCUCUGCGUGCAUCCAUGGAGACGCAAUGGGGCGGGGAAGGAACUGUGGGAGUGCACGUUCCAAAUCCUGUGUCUCCACGUGUGGAUCAGCAGCACCUCGCUUUCUUGUCAGAGACCUCGCUGUUACGGAGCGAGACCUGCUGAGAAUUGAGGGGCUGAGGGAACCCCUCCACCUCCUCCCUUCUGCAGCGCCCUGCGCCCCACCCAGCAACAGCGGCUGCUUGGCAGUGGGGCUGCUGCGAGCUCAGAGCCGCUGCUGCCCUGCAUGUGUCCGCUCAGCUCGGUCUUAUGCUGUAUAGUUACUAAAUAUGUACAGGAGGGCCACGGCAUCUUUCUGAA